CUCAUGCAGCUAGACAAGCGUUACCUUGCAAGCUGAGGACAAUCCAGUUGUUACGUUGUUUCUAUCUUUCAGCUAAGUUCGAUAUCCUUCUUCUCAUUUUUCAAUGAAGAUUUCUAAAGUUAUUCAUCACUUGGCUCGAUUGUGUAUCUGCAACUGUAUACUCCUGCUUUUAUUGAAGAUCGUACCCAACCAGGGACCUAUAGCAGGAAUU
rnacentral:lncRNA from 1 species